UUAGCCCAACGAGAUCGGGAUAACACCUGGAAACAGGUGCUAAUACCGGAUAACAACAGAUGAUGCCUAUCAACUGUUUAAAAGAUGGUUCUGCUAUCACUCUUGGAUGGACCUGCGGUGCAUUAGCUAGUUGGUAGGGUAACGGCCUACCAAGGCGAUGAUGCAUAGCCGAGUUGAGAGACUGAUCUGCCACAUUGGGACUGAGACACGGCCCAAACUCCUACGGGAGGCAGCAGGU
rnacentral:rRNA from 1 species